GACGGAGGAUGCAAGUGUUAUCCGGAAUCACUGGGCGUAAAGCGUCUGUAGGUGGUUUAAUAAGUCAACUGUUAAAUCUUGAGGCUCAACCUCAAAAUCGCAGUCGAAACUAUUAGGCUAGAGUAUAGUAGGGGUAAAGGGAAUUUCCAGUGGAGCGGUGAAAUGCGUAGAGAUUGGAAAGAACACCGGUGGCGAAGGCACUUUACUGGGCUAUUACUAACACUCAGAGACGAAAGCUAGGGUAGCAAAUGGG
rnacentral:rRNA from 1 species